ACUUGCCUUUUAAGAGCGAGAUUGAUUUAUUUAAAUUUAAAUCAUAAUUGAUUGCCUAUUCGUGCGUCCUCAAUUCUUAGUUUUCUCACAUUAAUAAAUUUAUUUAUUUUUUUAAAUGUAAUUAUUAACUAUACGGUCUAUGAGUUCAUAUGUAUGGCAAUUUUUCUUCGUGUAAGCUUCUAGCGCGACUAUUAAAGUCCACGCUCACCUCCAAAGAGACCCACUCCAAGCUCAUCUUUACUUUUGAUGGUGGAGUUAAUCC
rnacentral:lncRNA from 1 species